rnacentral:rRNA from 1 species
AUUGAACGCUGGCGGCAGGCUUAACACAUGCAAGUCGAGCGAGCGGCGGACGGGUGAGUAAUGUAUGGGGAACUGCCUGAUGGAGGGGGAUAACUACUGGAAACGGUAGCUAAUACCGCAUACUAUCAGAUGAGCCCAUAUGGGAUUAGCUAGUAGGUGGGGUAAUGGCUCACCUAGGCGACGAUCCCUAGCUGGUCUGAGAGGAUGACCAGCCACACUGGGACUGAGACACGGCCCAGACUCCUACGGGAGGCAGCAGUGGGGAAUAUUGCACAAUGGGCGCAAGCCUGAUGCAGCCAUGCCGCGUGUAUGAAGAAGGCCUUAGGGUUGUAAAGUACUUUCAGCGGGGAGGCGUUACCCGCAGAAGAAGCACCGGCUAACUCCGUGCCAGCAGCCGCGGUAAUAC